GACGAACCGAGCAAGCGUUAUUCGGAAUUACUGGGCUUAAAGAGUCCGUAGGCGGCGCGUUAGGUGGGGUGUGAAAUCCCUCGGCCCAACCGAGGAAUGGCGCUCCAAACCGGCGUGCUUGAGGAAGGUAGAGGUGAGCGGAACUGAUGGUGGAGCGGUGAAAUGCGUUGAUAUCAUCAGGAACACCGGAGGCGAAGGCGGCUCACUGGGCCUUUUCUGACGCUGAGGGACGAAAGCCAGGGUAGCGAACGGG
rnacentral:rRNA from 1 species